rnacentral:rRNA from 1 species
CAAUAGCGUAUAUUAAAGUUGUUGCGGUUAAAAAGCUCGUAGUUGGAUUUCUGCUGAGAACGACCGGUCCGCCCUCUGGGUGUGUAUCUGGCUCUUUCUUGGCAUCUUCUUGGUGAACGUUGCUGCACUUGACUGUGUGGAGCGCUACCCAGGACUUUUACUUUGAGGAAAUUAGAGUGUUUCAAGCAGGCAUACGCCUUGAAUACAUUAGCAUGGAAUAAUAAGAUAGGACCUCGGUUCUAUUUUGUUGGUUUCUAGAGCUGAGGUAAUGAUUAAUAGGGAUAGUUGGGGGCAUUCGUAUUCCUGUGGAAGAGGUGAAAUUCUUGGAUUUGUUAAAGACGGACUACUGCGAAAGCAUUUGCCAAGGAUGUUUUCAUUG